UACGGAGGGUGCAAGCGUUAUCCGGAUUCACUGGGUUUAAAGGGUGCGUAGGCGGGUUGGUAAGUCCGUGGUGAAAUCUCCGAGCUUAACUCGGAAACUGCCGUGGAUAUUAUCAAUCUUGAAUAUCGUGGAGGUAAGCGGAAUAUGUCAUGUAGCGGUGAAAUGCUUAGAUAUGACAUAGAACACCAAUUGCGUAGGCAGCUUACUACACGAUCAUUGACGCUGAGGCACGAAAGCGUGGGGAGCAAACAGG
rnacentral:rRNA from 1 species